CCUACGGGUGGCAGCAGUGGGGAAUAUUGCACAAUGGGGGAAACCCUGAUGCAGCGACGCCGCGUGAGUGAAGAAGUAUUUCGGUAUGUAAAGCUCUAUCAGCAGGGAAGAAAAUGACGGUACCUGACUAAGAAGCCCCGGCUACCUACGUGCCAGCAGCCGCGGUAAUACGUAGGGGGCAAGCGUGAUCCGGAUUUACUGUGUGUAAAGGGAGCGUAGACGGCAGAGCAAGUCUGAAGUCAAAGCCCGCGGCCCAACUGCGGGACUGCUUUGGAAACCGCCCCGGUAGAGUGCUGGAGAGGUAAGCGGAGUUCCUAGUGUAGCGGUGAAAUGCGUAGAUAUGAGGAGGAACACCAGU
rnacentral:rRNA from 1 species